rnacentral:rRNA from 1 species
CACGUAGGGCGCAAGCGUUGUCCGGAAUUAUUGGGCGUAAAGAGCUCGUAGGUGGUUUGCUGCGUCCGCUGUGAAAACCCAAGGCUUAACCUUGGGCUUGCAGUGGAUACGGGCAGACUAGAGGUAGGUAGGGGAGAAUGGAAUUCCCGGUGUAGCGGUGAAAUGCGUAGAGAUCGGAAAGAACACCAACGGCGAAAGCACUCUGCUGGGCCGACACUGACACUGAGAGACGAAAGCUAGGGGAGCGAAUGGG